UCCGGGGUCGUCUAACGGUAGGACAGCUGACUUUGGAUCAGUAGGUUGGGGUUCGAAUCCCUGCCCCGGAA
rnacentral:tRNA from 1 species